rnacentral:rRNA from 1 species
AAACGAUUCAAGUCAGACGCGUCGCCCGGUAAUCAACCUCUGCUCUUCGCCGAGGCUCACUUUCCGGGUUCGACGGGUCAGCAUCAAUUUUGACUGUCAAACAAGGCCGUUGGGAAUGUGGCAUCUUCGGAUGUGUUAUAGCCUGACGUGCGGACGUGGCGGUUGGGAUUGAGGAACGCGACACGACCCCCAUGGGUUCGGGACAUUCGUCCACGUAAACGUGUCUAGGAUGCUGGCAAAAUGGCUUGAACCGA